CACGUAGGGGGCAAGCGUUGUCCGGAUUUAUUGGGCGUAAAGAGCUCGUAGGUGGCUCGGCAAGUCGGGUGUUAAACCCCCAGGCUCAACCUGGGGACGCCACUCGAUACUGCUGUGGCUAGAGUCCGGUAGGGGAGCGUGGAAUUCCUGGUGUAGCGGUGAAAUGCGCAGAUAUCAGGAAGAACACCCGUGGCUAAGGCGGCUCUCUAGUACGGUACUGACGCUGAGACGCGAAAGCGUGGGGAGCGAACAGG
rnacentral:rRNA from 1 species